rnacentral:rRNA from 1 species
UAGGGGAUAUUGCACAAUGGGCGGAAGCCUGAUGCAGCAACGCCGCGUGAGUGAUGAAGGCCCUCGGGUCGUAAAACUCUUUUCAAGAGGAAGAGGAAGGACGGUACUCUUGGAAUAAGCCUCGGCUAACUACGUGCCAGCAGCCGCGGUAACACGUAGGAGGCGAGCGUUAUUUGAAUUUACUGGGCGUAAAGCGCGUGUAGGCGGCUGAUCAAGUUGGAUGUGAAAGCUCCCGGCUUAACUGGGAGAGGACGUUCGAAACUGAACAGCUUGAGUAUGAGAGAGGCAAAUGGAAUUCCGGGUGUAGUGGUGAAAUGCGUAGAUAUCCGGAGGAACACCAGUGGCGAAGGCGAUUUUCUGGCUCAAGACUGACGCUCAGACGCGAAAGCUAGGGUAGCAAACGG